rnacentral:rRNA from 1 species
AGAGUUUGAUCCUGGCUCAGGAUGAACGCUGGCGGCGUGCUUAACACAUGCAAGUCGAACGGGCGAACAGAGGUAUGGAGUAUUCGUACAAUAUACAUUUGUAAGCUAGUGGCGAACGGGUGAGUAACACGUGAGCAAUCUACCUCAAGCAGUGGAAUAACAACGGGAAACCGUUGCUAAUACCGCAUAGAGUCUACCUUCGGCAUCGUAGGUAGAUAAAAGGGUUUCGACCCGGCCUGAGAUGAGCUCGCGUCCGAUUAGGUAGUUGGUGAGGUAACGGCCCACCAAGCCCGCGAUCGGUAGCCGGACUGAGAGGUUGACCGGCCACACUGGUACUGAGACACGGACCAGACUCCUACGGGAGGCAGCAGUGAGGAAUAUUGGUCAAUGGAGGCAACUCUGAACCAGCCACGUCGCGUGAAGGAGGACGGCCCUACGGGUUGUAAACUUCUUUUGCAAGGGAAUAAAGUGCGGCACGCGUGCCGUUUUGCAUGUACCUUGCGAAUAAGGAUCGGCUAACUCCGUGCCAGCAGCCGCGGUAAUACGGAGGAUCCGAGCGUUAUCCGGAUUUAUUGGGUUUAAAGGGUGCGCAGGCGGGGGAUUAAGUCGGUGGUGAAAUUUUGCGGCUCAACCGUAACAGUGCCAUUGAUACUGGUUCCCUUGAGUGUGGAUGGAGUAGGCGGAAUUUGUGGUGUAGCGGUGAAAUGCAUAGAUAUCACGAGGAACUCCGAUCGCGUAGGCAGCCUACUAGGCCAUAACUGACGCUCAUGCACGAAGGCGUGGGGAUCAAACAGGAUUAGAUACCCUGGUAGUCCACGCAGUAAACUAUGAUUACUGGCUGUUUGCGAUACACAGUAAGCGGCCCAGCGAAAGCGUUAAGUAAUCCACCUGGGGAGUACGUUCGCAAGAAUGAAACUCAAAGGAAUUGACGGGGGCCCGCACAAGCAGCGGAGCAUGUGGUUUAAUUCGAAGCAACGCGAAGAACCUUACCAGGGCUUGACAUCCCUCUGGCCGGUACAGAGAUGUACCUUUUCUUCGGAACAGAGGAGACAGGUGGUGCAUGGUUGUCGUCAGCUCGUGUCGUAAGAUGUUGGGUUAAGUCCCGCAACGAGCGCAACCCCUAUCUUUAGUUGCCAUCAGGUAGAGCUGGGCACUCUAGAGAGACCGCCGGGGAUAACUCGGAGGAAGGUGGGGAUGACGUCAAAUCAUCAUGCCCCUUAUGUCCUGGGCUACACACGUGCUACAAUGGCCUGAAACAGAGAGAAGCGAAGCCGUAAGGUGGAGCAAACCUCAGAAACCAGGUCCCAGUUCGGAUUGUGGGCUGCAACCCGCCCACAUGAAGUCGGAGUUGCUAGUAAUCGCGAAUCAGCAUGUCGCGGUGAAUGCGUUCCCGGGCCUUGUACACACCGCCCGUCACACCAUGGGAGUCGGGAGCACCCGAAGCCGGUGACCUAACCGCAAGGGAGGAGCCGUCGAAGGUGAAAUCGAUGACUGGGGUGAAGUCGUAACAAGGUA